UGGGGAAUUUUGCGCAAUGGGCGCAAGCCUGACGCAGCGACGCCGCGUGUACGAUGAAGGCCUUUGGGUCGUAAAGUACUGUCAACGGGGAAGAAGGGUUCAUGGUGAAUAGCCAUGGUCUUUGACGGUACCCGUGGAGGAAGCACCGGCUAACUCUGUGCCAGCAGCCGCGGUAAUACAGAGGGUGCAAACGUUGCUCGGAAUGACUGGGCGUAAAGCGCGCGCAGGUGGCCUGCUCAGUCGGCUGUGAAAUCCCCUGGCUCAACCAGGGACGUGCAGUCGAUACUGGCCGGCUUGAGUCCCGGAGAGGGUGGUAGAAUUCCCAGUGUAGAGGUGAAAUUCGUAGAUAUUGGGAGGAAUACCGGUGGCGAAGGCGACCACCUGGACGGGUACUGACACUGAGGCGCGAAAGCGUGGGGAGCAAACAGGAUUAGAUACCCGCGUAGUCC
rnacentral:rRNA from 1 species